AUCUUAGAGAUAAGACGUUCCCUUCGGGGACAGAAUGACAGGUGGUGCAUGGUUGUCGUCAGCUCGUGUCGUGAGAUGUUGGGUUAAGUCCCGCAACGAGCGCAACCCUUAUUAUCAGUUGCCAGCAUUCAGUUGGGCACUCUGGUGAGACUGCCGGUGACAAACCGGAGGAAGGUGGGGAUGACGUCAAAUCAUCAUGCCCCUUAUGACCUGGGCUACACACGUGCUACAAUGGACGGUACAACGAGUUGCGAAGUCGUGAGGCUAAGCUAAUCUCUUAAAGCCGUUCUCAGUUCGGAUUGUAGGUUGCAACUCGCCUACAUGAAGUUGGAAUCGCUAGUAAUCGCGGAUCAGCAUGCCGCGGUGAAUACGUUCCCGGGUCUUGUACACACCGGGAA
rnacentral:rRNA from 1 species